CGGGGCGUAGCUCAGACGGAAGAGCACGGGCCUUCUAAGCCUGUGGUCGGGGGUUCGAUCCCCUCCGCCUCGGCCA
rnacentral:tRNA from 2 species